UUUUGGGGCCAGGCUAUCGCUCCGAGUUCUUUGAUUCCAUGUGUGGGUAAAACCGCGCUGGCCAAAGUUCGGAGAGGAAAGUCCGGACACCAUAGGGCAGGAUGCCGCGCAAGAUCACUCAAGCGCGGGCGCUACAAUUCAAUGUGUAGCGACGGAAAGUGUCACAGAAAAUAUACCGCCUAGCUUCGGCGAGGUAAGGUUGAAAUGGUGGGGUAAGAGCCCACCGCGUCGUAUGUGAAUGCGGCGGCAGGAUAAACCCCAUUCGGUGCAAGGCAAAAUAGGAGAUCGGGCGGCCCGUCUAUGAUCUCGGGUAUGCCGCACCCUCUGGCGCUCUUCGGAGUUAAGGAGGGCAGAUUUGGCGCAAGCUGGAUUUGAGACAAAUGGUAGCCUAUUCCUGCGUAAGCAGGAGGAACAGAAUCCGGCUUAUCGGCCCCAAAACUAG
rnacentral:RNase_P_RNA from 1 species